rnacentral:misc_RNA from 1 species
GAUGAAGAACGCAGCGAAAUGCGAUAAGUAAUGUGAAUUGCAGAAUUCAGUGAAUCAUCGAAUCUUUGAACGCACAUUGCGCCACCUGGUAAUCCGGGGGGCAUGCCUGUCCGAGCGUCAUUACAACCCUCAAGCUCAGCUUGGUGUUGGGCCCCGCCGCCCCGGCGGGCCCUAAAGUCAGUGGCGGUGCCGUCCGGCUCCGAGCGUAGUAAUUCUUCUCGCUCUGGAGGUCCGGUCGUGUGCUCGCCAGCAACCCCCAAUUUUUUUCAGGUUGACCUCGGAUCAGGUAGGGAUACCCGCUGAACUUAAGCAUAUCAAUAAGCGGAGGA